GACCUACAACUAUAUGUUUUUGUGUCUAAGUGACUGAUGGGAACAACAAUCUUUGACAUUGGUCCAGUGUUAAGAGAGAUCGCUGCAGGCAGAAGCAGAGAAACA